ACGAACGCUGGCGGCGCGCCUAAACACAUGCAAGUCGAACGAGAAGCUGUAGCAAUACAGUUGUAAAGUGGGCAAAACGGUGUGAGUAAUGCUUGGAGUAAUCUACCCUCGGGUGAGGGGAAUUAACUUCCCGAAAGGGGAGCUAAUGCCGACAUGUGCAACAUGUUCGCAAGGAGAUGUUGAAAGCCGUAUCGAGGAUACGGCGCCCAAGGAUGAGUCAUGUCCUAUCAGCUUGUUGGCUGGUUGGGGGUAACGGCCCACCAAGGCUGCGACGGGUAGCUGGUCUGAGGCGGACACGACCAGCACACACUGCACUGCGACAACGGGCCAGACUCCUACGGGAGGCAGCAGUGAGGAAUAUUGCGCAAUGGACGACAGUCUGACGCAGCGACGCCGCGUGGGGGAUGAAGGCCUUCGGGUUGUAAACCCCUUUCGGGAGGGAAGAUGGGACGGGCAACCGUUCGGACGGUACCUCCAGAAGCAGCCACGGCUAACUCUGUGCCAGCAGCCGCGGUAAGACAGAGGUGGCAAGCGUUGUUCGGAUUUACUGGGCGUAAGCGUGCGUAGGUGGUUCGGUAAGAUCUGUGGGAAAUCCCUGGGCUUAACCCAGGAAGGUCGCAGAGUGACUGCCGUGCUUGAGGACGGGAUGAGAGAGCGGAAUUCCCGGUGUAGCGGUGAAAUGCGUAGAGAUCGGGAAGAAGGCCGGUGGCGAAGGCGGCUCUCUGGAACGUUCCUGACACUGAGGCACGAAAGCGUGGGGAGCAAACAGGAUUAGAUACCCUGGUAGUUCCACGCCCCUAAACGAUGGAUACUAAGUGUCGGCGGGUUACCGCCGGUGCCCGCACCUAACGGAGUAAGUAUCCCGCCUGGGGAGUACGGCCCGCAAGGUUGAAACUCAAAGGAAUUGACGGGGGGCUCCGGCCACAAGCGGGUGGUGCAUGUGGUUCAAUUCGACGCAACGCGAAGAACCUUACCCAGAUUUGACAUGCUGGUAUUAGAAACCGGAAACGGGAUGAGCCCGCAAGGGCAGCCAGCACAGGUGCUGCCAUUGGCUGUCCGUCAGCUCGUGCCGUUGAGGUGUUGGUUAAGUCCCGCAACGAGCGCAACCCUUGUCUCCAGUUGCCAACGGGGUUAAGCCGGGAACUCUGGAGAGACUGCCCAGGGAUAACGGGGAGGAAGGUGGGGAUGACGUCAAGUCAGCAUGGCCUUUAUAUCUGGGGCUACACACGUGCAACAAUGGCCGGUACAAAAGGGGCUGCAAACCCGUAAGGGGAAGCCAAUCCCAGAAAACCGGCCCUCAGUUCAGAUUGAGGUCUGCAACUCGACCUCAUGAAGGCGGAAUCGCUAGUCAUCGCGGAUCAGCACGCCCGCGGUGAAUACGUUCCCGGGCCUUGUACACAACCGCCCGUCACACCCACGAAAGCCCGUCGUACCAGAAGUCGCCGGAGCUAACCCGCGAGGGAGGCAGGCGCCCAAGGUAUGGUUGGUGAUUGGGG
rnacentral:rRNA from 1 species